rnacentral:lncRNA from 1 species
UUUUGCCUUGUGAGAUUGGUAUAAGACCAUUGAUGGCAUCCGGUAUCAUUGUUUUGUUUUAGGAGGUUGGUGUAAACCCAUUUAUUGGUAUCCGACAUCCGCUUUUGUUUGUGAGAUUGGUAUAAGACCAUUGAUGGCAUCCGGUAUCACCUUGCUUUAUUUUUACUCGCUUUGUUGCCUCAUUCCUAAGGACACACUUGAAUCAUCUCCUAUAUGAUUUCAAGAGGUGAACCUUUC